CUCUCUCUCUCUCUCUCUCUAUGCUAACGUUUGCUCUCCCUUCUCUCUAGAACCUUCUUGUUCUCUUUCUUGUAUCCGAUGAAGCCACCGCCUCUCCGUCCACCUCCAUCCAUACUUCUCUGGACCACCAGCCACCAUGAAACUUUAUCUUGUUGAUUCCCUCUAACUCCGAGACUCCAGAAGCCACCACCAUACAAGAUGAUCAUUGGAAGCUUUUUCUGGUUUAUCUCCGGCCUUUCUUUGAUGGUUUAUGGUCCGAUGGUGCUAUGAACAUCAUUAUUAACGAGUUUCAC
rnacentral:lncRNA from 1 species